AAUCAACGCUGGCGGCGUGCCUAACACAUGCAAGUCGAACGCGAAAGCCCCUUCGGGGGUAAGUAGAGUGGCGUCCGGGUGAGUAACACGUGGGUAAUCUACCUUCGGGUGGGGAAUAACUCAGGGAAACUUGAGCUAAUACCGCAUAAUGCAGCGGCACCUAAUGGUGAUUAGUUGUUAAAGCGGGGGAUCGCAAGACCUCGCGCCUGAAGAGGAGCCUGCGGCAGAUUAGCAGUUGGUGAGGUAAUGGCUCACCAAGGCUUCGAUCUGUAGCUGGUCUGAGAGGACGGCCAGCCACACUGGGCACUGACACACGGGGCCAGACUCCUACGGGAGGCAGCAGUGGGGAAUUUUUGGGCAAUGGGCGAAAGCCUGACCCAGCAACGCCGCGUGAGGGAGGAAAUCCUUCGGGAUGUAAACCUCACAAGC
rnacentral:rRNA from 1 species